UGCAACAUUAGGUUAAUAUCAUUUUUUUGGAUGUAGGUGUUAUGGCCAUAAACUUUCCUGCUUUUGCUGCAUUCUAGAAGUUUUGUUUUGAACUUGGAUGCUGUCUGGAAACUGGGGCUAUAAGGCUGACCUGGUGCUGAGGCGAGUCUGAUGAGGCAUUCCUGGCUCUGGAGUUCACUGGUACAGGCUCAGUGCUGGGGUCCACAGUGAUAUUGAGAGCUCACUUCACUCUCUUUCCCUCAUGUGAAGGAUAUCUCUUUCUAUGCUACACUGCUUCGGCUUGAGGAAGUUCUGGCAAUGACACAACAAUGUGUUGGAAUGCACAACCUUAUUGCAGAGAGAAAGAAUGAACAACUGGGAGCAUCAGUUCAAUCUACCACAAAGUCUCCAACCUGAUUCUUUUCUUAAAUUAUCCAUGUUGUUUAUCAUACCUUUGAU